UUUAUACAUAUACAUAUCUAUGUUUGAAUAUCUAAACAAUAUAAAAUAAACACUACCCCUGAGGAUGCUAAAAAAGUUUUAGCGAAACGUCGGGUGAAAAGUGGAA